rnacentral:rRNA from 1 species
CGGCGAGUGAAGCGGCAAAAGCUCAAAUUUGAAAUCUAGCACCUUCGGUGUUCGAGUUGUAAUUUGAAGAUGGUAACCUUGGGUUUGGCUCUUGUCUAUGUUCCUUGGAACAGGACGUCAUAGAGGGUGAGAAUCCCGUCUGAUGAGAUGCCCAUUCCUAUGUAAGGUKCUAUYGAAGAGUCGAGUUGUUUGGGAAUGCAGCUCUAAGUGGGUGGUAAAUUCCAUCUAAAGCUAAAUAUUGGCGAGAGACCGAUAGCGAACAAGUACAGUGAUGGAAAGAUGAAAAGAACUUUGAAAAGAGAGUGAAAAAGUACGUGAAAUUGUUGAAAGGGAAGGGCAUUAGAUCAGACUUGGUGUUUUACGAUUAUCUUCUCUUCUUGAGUUGUGCACUCGUAUUUCACUGGGCCAGCAUCGAUUCGGAUGGCAAGAUAAUGGCAGUUGAAUGUGGCUUCACUUCGGUGGAGUGUUAUAGCUUCUGCUGAUAUUGCCUGUCUGGAUCGAGGGCUGCGUCUYUUGACUAGGAUGCUGGCGUA